UGCCCAUUCAAACAGUACAUGCCAAGCAAACUGUCUAAAUAUGGAAUAAAGAUAUGGGCUGCAUGUGAUGCCAGGACAAGUUAUGCCUGGAACCUGCUGACGGUGUUCCCGAAAGGAGCCAGGGGAAGCGGGUGGUCCUGGAAAUGACUGCAGGUCUCCAGUGGCACAGCAUAACAUGUGACAAUUUCUGCAAUUUCUGCUCUUGGUCAGGAGCUGCUCCAAAAAAAAUGACCAUGUUGGGGACUGUCAGAAGGUACAAGCCUGAGUUACCCACUGCUUUACUCACUACCAAGGACAGGGAUUGUUUUUCCUCUAAAUCUGCCUUCACCGAUACACAGAUUUGUGUGUCCUACUGCCCGAAGAAAAAGAAGAAUGUGCUCCUGAUGACAACUCUGCACAGCGAUGCCUCUGUGAGUAUCAGGGGGGACAGGAAGCCCAAAACUGUCCUGGAUUACAACAGGAACAAAGGGGGAGUUGACAACCUUGAUGAGGUGACUGGCACAUACUCUUGUAAGAGGAUGACAGCACGUUGGCACAUGGUGUUCUUCAAUAUCCUAGAUGUGUCGGCCUACAAGGCGUUUGUGGUGUGGAUGGAGGUGAUUUCAGGCUGGAAGCAGGGGAAAUUCUUCAAGAGGAGACUAUUCCUAGAAGAGUUGGGGAAAGCCAUGGUGGCACCCCUCAUUCAAAGGCACAAACACCUUCCUCUAAAACCAUCCUCUGCUGGAUUGGUGAGAGAUAUACAAGGGAGCAAGAUCUACGGCCGCCAGAGACAGAAGAGACAAAAGGAAGAGGUGCAAUCUGUGUGCACCAAGGGAUGUCAAAACGAGCAUUAUGUACCAUAAAUGUACAUGCAGCAACCACCACGUAUUGUACAACAUGUGCAUGAGAACCCAAAAAAUGUAACCACCAUUGAUUGACAGAUUGUGAACGUUUUCAUGUUUUUGUUAUUGUUGGUAAUACUGUUAUUGUUACUGUUGUUAUUUAAUGUGUUCAGACAUUCAUUUUAUAAUAUGGUAAAGUUUUCAUAUGUUGUUUUGGAAAUGUCCUUUCUUUACUAAUAAAAUCAUACCGGUCAGUUUUGACCGGGAACACAACAGAUGUUAUUUUGUGCGACUUUUAAAAAAAAUGAACUGGUUUCAAAACAAAUGUUCUUGUUAAACAUUGACACAAGUAGUCUGUGAUAAAUAGCACAAUAUGUUUCAUCUGCAUAUUUGUUAUAGUCAAAAUAAUCCAUACAUUAUGCUUUUUUACUCAAAAACUGUCACCCCCUGACCUUAGUUAUCUUUGUUUUCUUUAUUGUUUUGGUUAGGUCAGGGUGUGACGAGGUUGGUAUGUCUGUUUUGUCUUGUCUAAGGUUUUUGUAUAUCUAUGGGGUUUUGGUAUGUCUAGGUAAAUGUAGGUCUAUGGUGGCCUGAAUUGGUUCCCAAUCAGAGGCAGCUGUUUAUCGUUGUCUCUGAUUGGGGAUCCUAUUUAGGUUGCCAUUUUCCAUUUUGGUUUUGUGGGUUAUUGUCUAUGUGUAGUUGCCUGUCAGCACUCGUGUUGAAUAGCGUCAUGGUCGUGUUGUUGUUGUUGUUGUUGUUGUUGUUGUUGUUGUUGUUGUUGUUGUUGUUGUUAGUUUGUUUAGUGUUGUUCGUGUAAUAAAAGAAGAAUGUAUUCGUAUCACGCUGCGCCUUGGUCUCCUCGUUAUGACGAACAUGACAAAAACGAGUUGUAUGAGCUCAGGUCAAUGAGGCCUACAAGCCAUAAAUAGCGAAUAGAAGUUCAAAACUUGUAAUGGUCACA
ensembl:lncRNA